rnacentral:tRNA from 1 species
GGCUCAUUGGUCAAGCGGUUAAGACUCCGCCCUCUCAAGGCGGCAACAGGGGUUCGAUUCCCCUAUGAGUCA